rnacentral:rRNA from 1 species
GGCAAUGGCAUUAUCUCCUUGUAGCCUGAUCUUGUCAGAGCUUGGAAGCUAAACAAGGAUGGGCCUGGUCAGUACUGGCAUGAGAGACCUCUAGGAAAAUCCGGUUUGCUGCUUUAA